GAUGAAGAACGCAGCGAAAUGCGAUAAGUAAUGUGAAUUGCAGAAUUCAGUGAAUCAUCGAAUCUUUGAACGCACAUUGCGCCCCCCAGUAUUCUGGCGGGCAUGCCUGUUCGAGCGUCAUUUCAACCAUCAAGCCCUGCUUGUGUUGGGGUCCUGCGGCUGCCCGCAGGCCCUGAAAACCAGUGGCGGGCUCGCUAGUCACACCGAGCGCAGUAGCACAUCUCGCUCAGGGCGUGCGGCGGGCUCCAGCCGUUAAAGCACCCACCUUUCGCAAGGUUGACCUCGGAUCAGGUAGGAAUACCCGCUGAACUUAAGCAUAUCAAUAAGCAGAGGA
rnacentral:misc_RNA from 1 species